GCUUGCUUCGGCAGCAUGUCCUAAACUCGAAAUGAUACAGAGAAGAUGAGCAUGGCCCUGCACAAGGAUGACACACAAAUAUGCGAAACGUACCAUAUUUUU